AGAGGAAGGAGAAGGCCCGCUGGCGCAGCUCCCGCAGAAGACACCACGCCGAGAUUCUCGCGGUAGAGAACGUCCUCCGCAUCGAAUCGGUGAGCUACUGUCGGCAGCACAGGCAAGGAGUGGUCCAAAAGCAGACAUUGAUGGCCCUGCUUGCAGCGCUUCAGUAUCCAUACGACAAGAAAAUAUACCUGGACAUCGACAUCAUCAGCUCACUUG
rnacentral:lncRNA from 1 species